ACACAAGUCCUCCAUUGCAGCAGGACUCAAAUCUGCGCAGUAAGCACCAAUGAGUCCACAGUUGUCAUGCUGCUAUGGCACCGGUAGGCAUGCAUGGCUGCAAGCCCCACCAUCGCCCGAUCCCCAUCCUUCCUAAAACUCACAGCAGUCCUCUUGUCUCAGGGUGUAUGUGCUGGGAUGACAGGUGUGCUGGUCUCAUGUCAACUAGACACACAAACUACAGUUAUCUGAAAAGAGGGAACCGCAAUAAUGCCUGCACAGCUCUGUCUGAGAAUGAAGGCGUCCAGCUAAGGAAUCUGAAGACCACUGAACAGAUGAGACAUGUGAAGAAAAAGGACAAAUCAUCCAGAAAAGUUGUCUCAAGAAAAAGUGUAAAUUGUCGGUAUAUCACAUUUUCAACAGAAUAAAAUUUCAUAAGUCUUCCUAAA